rnacentral:rRNA from 1 species
AUUGAACGCUGGCGGCAUGCUUUACACAUGCAAGUCGAACGGUAACAGGGUGCUUGCACCGCUGACGAGUGGCGAACGGGUGAGUAAUGCGUCGGAACGUGCCGAGUAGUGGGGGAUAACGCAGCGAAAGUUGUGCUAAUACCGCAUACGUACUGAGGUAGAAAGUGGGGGACCUUCGGGCCUCACGCUAUUCGAGCGGCCGACGUCUGAUUAGCUAGUAGGUGAGGUAAAGGCUCACGUAGGCGACGGUCAGUAGCGGGUUUGAGAGGAUGGUCCGCAAAAGUGAGAGUGUGACACGGCCCAGACUCCUACGGGGGGCAGCAGUGGGGAAUUUUGGACAAGGGGGGAAAGCCUGAUCCAGCAAUGCGGCGUGUCUGAAGAAGGCCUUGGGGUUAUAAAGGACUUUUGUCAGGGAGGAAAACCCUAGUGCUAAUAACACUGGGGGAUGACAGUACCUGAAGAAUAAGCACCGGCUAACUACGUGCCAGCCGCCGCCGUAA